CCCUCGAUAGCUCAGUUGAGUUGGCAGAGCGGAGGACUGUAGAUGUUACAACGGUGAUCCUUAGGUCGCUGGUUCAAAUCUGGCUCGAGGGA